AACGAACGCUGGCGGCAGGCCUAACACAUGCAAGUCGAACGCUGUAGCAAUACAGAGUGGCAGACGGGUGAGUAACGCGUGGGAACAUGCCCUUCGGUUCGGAAUAACUCAGGGAAACUUGAGCUAAUACCGGAUACGCCCUUAGGGGGAAAGAUUUAUUGCCGAAGGAUUGGCCCGCGUCCGAUUAGCUAGUUGGUGAGGUAAUGGCUCACCAAGGCGACGAUCGGUAGCUGGUCUGAGAGGAUGAUCAGCCACACUGGGACUGAGACACGGCCCAGACUCCUCCGGGAGGCAGCAGUGGGGAAUAUUGGACAAUGGGGGCAAGCCUGAUCCAGCCAUGCCGCGUGAGUGAUGAAGGCCCUAGGGUUGUAAAGCUCUUUCGCCAGGGACGAUAAUGACGGUACCUGGAUAAGAAGCCCCGGCUAACUUCGUGCCAGCCGCCGCGGUAAUAC
rnacentral:rRNA from 1 species